ACCUUUGUGGUGAAAUGGUAGACACUCAUGACUUAAAAUUAUGUGCUUUUUUAGCGUACCGGUUCAAAUCCGGUCAAAGGUA
rnacentral:tRNA from 1 species